rnacentral:rRNA from 2 species
UGGGGAAUAUUGCACAAUGGGCGAAAGCCUGAUGCAGCGACGCCGCGUGAGUGAAGAAGGUCUUCGGAUCGUAAAACUCUGUCCUUGGUGAAGAAAAAAAUGACGGUAGCCAAGGAGGAAGCCCCGGCUAACUACGUGCCAGCAGCCGCGGUAAUACGUAGGGGGCGAGCGUUGUCCGGAUUUACUGGGCGUAAAGGGUGAGUAGGCGGUUGUAUAAGUCAGAUGUAAAAGGCGUAGGCUCAACUUACGUAAGCUUUUGGAACUGUAAGACUUGAGUGCAGGAGAGGAGAGUGGAAUUCCUAGUGUAGCGGUGAAAUGCGUAGAUAUUAGGAGGAACACCAGUAGCGAAGGCGGCUCGAUGGACUGUAACUGACGCUGAGGCACGAAAGCGUGGGGAGCAAACAGG